AUACUUACCUGGCAGGGGAGAUACCAAUAUCACGAAAGGGGUUUUCCCAGGGCGAGGCUUAUACAUUGUACUCUGGAUGUGCUGACCCCAGCGAUUUCCCCAAAUGUGGGAAACUGGACUACAUAAUUUGUGGUAGUGGGUGACUGCGUUUGCACUUUCCCCUA
ensembl:snRNA U1 U1 spliceosomal RNA